GUCAGUUCGGGUUGAGGCGGAAAGGACUUGAUGAGGCGUUUGGGUUAUGGAAUUGCGUUUUGAGGAUAUGGGCGCAGAAGUUACGAAGAGUUUAUUUAGUUGUUGAGAUGCUUUGUAUUGCCUUAGAUUAUUUAUUGUACCCUUGCCUUUAUCUUGAUAUAUUCUGUAAGAGGGAUAUGGAUUGUAUUGGUUAAUGCUUGUAAUAAUAUUUAUAUAUUUGUAUGUAUAUAUAUGGAUGUA